rnacentral:tRNA from 1 species
GCGAGAGUGGCGGAAUCUGGUAGACGCGCAGGACUUAGGAUCCUGUGGCUUCGGCCGUGGGGGUUCGAAUCCCCCCUCUCGCACCA